GUGGGGAAUAUUGGGCAAUGGGCGCAAGCCUGACCCAGCAACGCCGCGUGAAGGAAGAAGGCUUUCGGGUUGUAAACUUCUUUUACCAGGGACGAAAAAAAUGACGGUACCUGGAGAAUAAGCCACGGCUAACUACGUGCCAGCAGCCGCGGUAAUACGUAGGUGGCAAGCGUUGUCCGGAUUUACUGGGUGUAAAGGGCGCGUAGGCGGGAGAGCAAGUCAGGAGUGAAAUCUAUGGGCUUAACCCAUAAAUUGCUUUUGAAACUGUUUUUCUUGAGUGAUGGAGAGGCAAGCGGAAUUCCUAGUGUAGCGGUGAAAUGCGUAGAUAUUAGGAGGAACACCAGUGGCGAAGGCGGCUUGCUGGACAUUAACUGACGCUGAUGCGCGAAAGCGUGGGGAGCAAACAGGAUUAGAAACCCGGGUAGUCC
rnacentral:rRNA from 1 species